GAUGAACGCUGGUGGCGUGCCUAAUACAUGCAAGUCGAGCGAGCGGCGGACGGGUGAGUAGUGUCUGGGAAACUGCCUGAUGGAGGGGGAUAACUACUGGAAACGGUAGCUAAUACCGCAUAACAUCAGAUGUGCCCAGAUGGGAUUAGCUAGUAGGUGGGGUAAUGGCUCACCUAGGCGACGAUCCCUAGCUGGUAUGAGAGGAUGACCAGCCACCCUGUAACUGAGACACGGUCCGAACUCCUACGGGAGGCAGCAGUGGGGAAUAUUGCACAAUGGGCGCAGGCCUGAUGCAGCCAUGCCGCGUGUGUGAAGAAGGCCUUCGGGUUGUAAAGCACUUUCAUCGAGGAGGCGUUACUCGCAGAAGAAGCACCGGCUAACUCCGUGCCAGCAGCCGCGGUAAUAC
rnacentral:rRNA from 1 species